CCUACACCUUCACCUUCACCUUCACCUUCUGCCUCAUCAUCAUCAGGCAAAUCCAGGGUGAGCAGGAAAUCCUUUCAAGCUGGACCAAACUAUCCACAUCCAGCCAAAGAUGAUGAGAUGCCAUUGGCGGGCGAAGUGUCUGAAAAAUGUCAAAGUA